AUUGAACGCUGGCGGCAUGCUUUACACAUGCAAGUCGGACGAGUGGCGAACGGGUGAGUAACGCAUCGGAACGUACCGAGUAAUGGGGGAUAACUGUCCGAAAGGACAGCUAAUACCGCAUAUUAUUCGAGCGGCCCAGGUAUGAUUAGCUGGUUGGAGGGGUAAAGGCUCACCAAGGCGACGAUCAGUAGCGGGUCUGAGAGGAUGAUACGCAACACGGGGACGGAGACACGGCCCAGACUCCGAGGGGAGGAAGCAUGGGGGAAUUUUGGACAAGGGGCGAAAGCCUGAGCCAGCAUGCCGCGUGUCUGAAGAAGGCCUUCGGGUUGUAAAGGACUUUUGUCAGGGAAGCGGUACCUGAAGAAUAAGCACCGGCUAACUACGUGCCAGCAGCCGCGGUAAUAC
rnacentral:rRNA from 1 species